rnacentral:rRNA from 1 species
GGGUGACUGCGUACCUUUUGUAUAAUGGGUCAGCGACUUAUAUUUUGUAGCGAGGUUAACCGGAUAGGGGAGCCGAAGGGAAACCGAGUCUUAACUGGGCGGUUAGUUGCAAGAUAUAGACCCGAAACCCGGUGAUCUAGCCAUGGGCAGGAAGAAGGUUGGGUAACACUAACUGGAGGGCCGAACCGACUACUGUUGAAAAAGUAGCGGAUGACCUGUGGCUGGGGGUGAAAGGCCAAUCAAACCGGGAGAUAGCUGGUUCUCCCCGAAAUCUAUUUAGGUAGAGCCUUAUAUGAAUACCUUCGGGGGUAGAGCACUGUUUCGGCUAGGGGUCCAUCCCGGAUUACCAACCCGAUGCAAACUGCGAAUACCGAAGAGUAAUGUAUAGGAGACACACGGCGGGUGCUAACGUUCGUCGUGGAGAGGGAAACAACCCAGACCGCCAGCUAAGGUCCCAAAGUCUAUAUUAAGUGGGAAACGAAGUGGAAAGGCUUAGACAGCUAGGAUGUUGGCUUAGAAGCAGCCAUCAUUUAAAGAAAGCGUAAUAGCUCACUAGUCGAGUCGGUCUGCGCGGAAGAUGUAACGGGGCUAAAAUAUAGCACCGAAGCUGCGGCAUCA